GAUGAACGCUGACAGAAUGCUUAACACAUGCAAGUCGAUGGGGAAGUGGUGCUUGCACCCUGGCAACCAUGGCGGACGGGUGAGUAACGCGUAAGGGACUUACCUGCAGGACUGGGAUAACAGGGGGAAACUCCUGACAAGACCGGAUAAUGUCAUGGAGCUGCAUGGCUUUAUGAUGAAAGGAGACGCCUGCGGAGAGCCUUGCGUCCUAUUAGCUAGUUGGUGAGGUAAUGGCUCACCAAGGCGAAGAUAGGUAGCCGGCCUGAGAGGGUGGACGGCCACAAGGGGACUGAGAUACGGCCCUGACUCCUACGGGAGGCAGCAGUGGGGAAUAUUGGACAAUGGGGGCAACCCUGAUCCAGCAAUUCUGUGUGCACGAAGAAGGUUUUCGGAUUGUAAAGUGCUUUCAGCAAGGAAGAAGUAAGUGACGGUACCUGCAGAAGAAGCGACGGCUAAAUACGUG
rnacentral:rRNA from 1 species